rnacentral:rRNA from 1 species
AUGCUCCAUAGGAUAUCAUGUGAAAAUUCUUUUAGUCACAUCAUGUUUGACAAUCCAUUAACCUUGUCAUAUGCUAUGAGUGAGAUCUCCCAUAUUGCAUCAUUUCAAUCUCAACAUAGUAACUAUGCAUGCCCCAUUAAAAUAAAUCCUAUUUGCACAUAUGGCAUAGAUGACGAGAUGAUGGCCAUUGCCUUUUGUUUCUCUUGCAAUGAUAUUGCUAUGCUUCCUUUGCAAAAUUUGUGCAAUUCAUCUCAUAUGCCAUGCCAUGAAAAUUAUUAUGUAUCGCAUGAUUACAUCCCUUGUGUGCACCACAUGCAUACCAUUCCUCACAAUGCUCUACAUAUUUCUCAUGAUGCAUUACACAUUUUGAGUCUCCAUUAUGCUAUACAUAACAACAAACCUCUCAUGAUGGAUGACAUGUUUCUAUAUCAUGCAACUCAUUUAUUUGAGCAUUGGAUAUUUUGUGCUAACCUACACAUGCACGUAUGCAUCAUAAUGGAUGAUGUGUACAUAUAUCACACACACACAAUUUUUCCUUUGCCUUUGUUUUGUGUAGGUACUUAUGCAAACUCGUCAACCUCACAAUCCCAUGAGUUGACAAAACAAGCUCUUGAGAGCAAGGAUGACUUGGGAUCACGUGGACUAUCCUUACCACCGCUCACUUUGCGUCACGACUACGCGCAUCUCUUCUACUUGGCUCUCACACGGCUAUGGGCUAUAUACCAAUUGUCUUUUUAUACCCAUUUUCCCGUGUUCACUUUGCAUGUUAUGCCUCUUUAUAUGCCUUUGCCAUGCCAUUGUGACCCUUACUUGCACUUACUUGUGAUUCACCAUUAUGCUACUUCUAUGUGUAUUUGCAUGCUUGGUGGAGAUACUUCUUGCUAUUGCCAUGUUUACCAUGUGCCACAUGCUAUUGUUGAUUCUUGUGUUGGGAGAGUCAUGAUGUCCAAUUGCUAUUUAUAUAUGGACUCCCGCCAAUACAUCGAUGAUAUUUUGAUCAUAUCUUGCUUUCAUGCUUGUGAUAUGUCAUGUGAAUUAGUCAUGACCACUAUUUGCACACAUGCCAUGAUUGCCAUGAUUCCUUCUAGUACGUUGCAUCUUCGCACUACUAGCUUGCUUGACUUGAUAACUAUGAUUGCUUGCUUUGUCGCAUCACCCAUGUUCCAUUCUUACUCGCUUUCUUGGUUGAUGACAUAUAUAUUCAUGCCUCUCACGUGA